GAGACUGUGCGGCGAUGCCAGGAGCUGGCUGCAGGCUUGGGGAGGCAGAAUUCUGAGGGGGCGCCAGCUGCCUGAGCAGGGCGGGGCUCCAGCACCGAGGAAACGGAGACCAAGGCAAUGUUGUGGACGACUGUGCACCCAGAGCACUCAGCCCGCAGCACUCAGCCAGAGCACUCAGCCAGAGCACUCUGCCCAGAGCACUGAGCCCGCAGCACUCAGCACAGAGCACUGAGCCCGGAGCACUCAGCCCAUGAGGAACUGGAGGGAUCUUGCCCUCCAGGGGAUAAAACGCUGGUCGUGCCCAGCGGUGUGUCCCUGACCACCAACGACCCGGUCUUGCCAGACCAUCCUUAAAGUAAAGCCUGGAUCUUUGCAGA